ACAAGAGAGAGAGAUUGAGAGUGCUUCCAGAAAUUUCUUCCUCCUCUUUGAUCGUCUAUCACUAACGAACUUGGGUGCAUUGUCCACGGCCACAAUAGGUGUUAGGGAGCUCAUAAAUCCUCUGCUCUUUCUGCUCUAUUUGUGUAGCAGUUGUGAGCAUUGAUGCCAUCCUUCUUCUUUCUCUUCUCUACUGUCAGCUUGUCGCCAUCGUGGUUAAGCACCGAAGGUACAUCUGUCACUUGGAGUCUUCUUUCCUCCUCCCUGUUAGCACGCCCAGAACCUUUUCCUCCUUAUUUCUACAAUAGUUGAGUUUGCACCCAGGCCAGUCACCCACUAUUUUCGGGGCGUGACACAAAAGGAAGAAGCUAACAUAACAAAUGAAAUAGGGGAGAACAAAACUCAUGACUCACACCACCACCAACAGUGAGCCACCCCCUACACUCACGACGAUGGACAACUAGAACAGAGGGGGAGGAAGUUCAAAUACACCCAUGCAACACGAACAUCACAAUGAUUGUUGGGUAAUCCAUUCUUGGUAGAUCAAGCCCAAUAUGAGCCCAUGGGAUCUUUAUUAGAAUAUAGAGAAGAUUUGGGCUAGAAAAUGUAAUAUACUUUGGGUCAGAUGUGCAAUUUUCCUUUAAUUAUUUAAAACUUCAAAGGAAGGAACGGUUUUGCUUCACACAUGCACGAUCAAAAACCAUAACUGGUGUGGGUGGUUUUAACAGCCAAAAAACUUCCAAGCAAUUGAGUAGUGAUUGAGAAUUCGGUCGUUAGGCUCUCUCUCUCGGUUUUUACAAGUGCAUUUACUGUGCGUAUCCGAAAGAAGUUUGACCUUGUGGCUUUGUUCCCACAUAUGUCUGUGCAACUCAACCACUAUAGGUAUGUAUUCCUCCUCAUAAUCUUAUAUUGGUAUUAGAGCGGUUAAUUUUUUUGGGCUCCAUUUUAACCAUAUACAUGCAAAUCUAAAAGUUUAGUUUUUUUCCUUGUGUAUUCGCAUAAUCUACCUUUGUCCAUCUUUAUGAUUAUUCUCACCAAAAUUAACAUGUUUAUAUGCUUCUUUGUUGAUAUAAGUGUUUCACAUAAGGCUAUACACGUUUUGCAUGCGAUUUGAUAUACCGAAUGUUACAACUAAAAAAAUAAAUAAUGGGUGUUUGAAAAUUAAUUUUUUUUUGGAAAAAAGGAUUGCAUAAACGUGUGGAGCUUGAAAAAAUAAAGAAAACAACAC